UGAGGAAUAUUGGUCAAUGGGCGAGAGCCUGAACCAGCCACGUCGCGUGAAGGAAGACUGACCUUACGGUUUGUAAACUUCUUUUGUAGAGGGGUAAUGGCAGAUACGUGUAUUUUCGUGAAAGUACUCUACGAAUAAGCAUGUGCUAACUCCGUGCCAGCAGCCGCGGUAAUACGGGGGAUGCGAGCGUUAUCCGGAAUUAUUGGGUUUAAAGGGUGCGCAGGUGGCUAAGCAGGUCAGUGGUGAAAAGCUAUGGCUAAACCAUGGUCGUGCCAUUGAAACCGUAUAGCUAGAGAGGAGACGAGGUAGGCGGAAUGUGUGGUGUAGCGGUGAAAUGCAUAGAUAUCACACAGAACUCCGAUUGCGAAGGCAGCUUACCAGGCUUUAUCUGACACUUAGGCACGACAGCGUGGGGAUCAAACAGG
rnacentral:rRNA from 1 species